CCGCGUGAGUGAAGAAGGCCUUCGGGUGUAAAGCUCUUCGGCCGGAACGAAAUCGCGCGGGUGAACAACCCGCGUGGAUGACGGUACCGGAAGAAGAAGCACCGGCUAACUACGUGCCAGCAGCCGCGGUAAUACGUAGGGUGCAAGCGUUAAUCGGAAUUACUGGGCGUAAAGCGUGCGCAGGCGGUCGCGUAAGCCAGAUGUGAAAUCCCCGGGCUUAACCUGGGAACUGCAUUUGGUACUGCGUGGCUGGAGUGCGGCAGAGGAAGGUGGAAUUCCUGGUGUAGCAGUGAAAUGCGUAGAGAUCAGGAGGAACACCGAUGGCGAAGGCAGCCUUCUGGGCCAGCACUGACGCUCAUGCACGAAAGCGUGGGGAGCAAACAGGAUUAGAUACCCUGGUAGUCCACGCCCUAAACGAUGGCCACUAGUUGUUGGGGGAGUCUAUCCCUUAGUAACGUAGCUAACGCGUGUAGCGGCCCGCCUGGGGAGUACUGUCGCAAGAUUC
rnacentral:rRNA from 1 species